rnacentral:rRNA from 1 species
GCAGUGAGGAAUAUUGGUCAAUAGCCUAACGGCUGAACCAGCAACUUGGAAGAAUGUAUAGCUAAGCUAAAUGUUUUUUGUAAAAAAAAACAAAUUCGAUUUAUUCGUAUAAAAUUCUAGGUAGAUUUAUGAUAAUGACAUUAUCUAUCUAUAAGUCUUGACCAACAUGCGUGCCAGCAGUCGCGGCAAGACGCUAAAGACUAGUGUUAUUCAUUUUAAUAGGUUUAAAGGGUACCUAGACGGUAAAUUAAGCCUUAACAGGUACUAAUUUAACUAGAGUUAGAUGUAAGGGUGCAUUAACGUACUAUUGAGUGUAGAGAUGAAAUUCUGUCAUACCAGAUGAUUGGCACGGGUUUAGGCGAAAGCAUCACCUUAUGUAAUAACUGACGUUGAGGGACGAAGGCUUUGUAUCGCUAAAAGGAUUAGGUACCUCGUAGUCUAAGCAGAAAAUGAUGAAUGUCAUAGGUUAAAUAUUAUUUAGUCUAUAAAUGAAAGUGUAAGCAUUCCACCUCAAGAGUAAUUUGGCAACAUUGGAAUUGAAAUCAUUAGGCCGUUUCUGAAACCAGUAGUGAAGUAUGUUGUUUAAUUAGAUAAUCCACAAAGAACCUUACCACAAUUUGAAUAUUUGAAUAUCUUACAAGCGUUGCACGGCUGUCUACAGUUAAUGUCGUGAGUCUCUGGUUAGUUCCAAGAAAUUAACGUAAACCCUUGCUUUAUUUUAUUUUAUAUAAAGUAUCUAGCCGCUACCCUGGUUAAAUAAUAGGGAAUAUGACAAGUCAUCAUGGCCUUUCUAUAUUGUGGGCUAUAAAAGUGCCACAUAA